rnacentral:tRNA from 8 species
CAAGAAAAGGUCAGGAUAGCUC